rnacentral:rRNA from 1 species
GAUGAACGCUGGCGGCGUGCCUAACACAUGCAAGUCGAACGAGAUGCGUAUCGGAAAGCUUCGGCCGGAAGAUACGUUAUCUAGUGGCGGACGGGUGAGUAACACGUGGGUAACCUGCCUUAUGGAGGGGGAUAACAGAGAGAAAUCACUGCUAAUACCGCAUAAGCACACAGUACCGCAUGGUACAGGGUGAAAAGAUUUAUCGCCAUAAGAUGGACCCGCGUCUGAUUAGCCAGUUGGCAGGGUAAAAGCCUACCAAAGCAACGAUCAGUAGCCGAUCUGAGAGGAUGACCGGCCACAUUGGGACUGAGACACGGCCCAAACUCCUACGGGAGGCAGCAGUGGGGAAUAUUGCACAAUGGGGGGAACCCUGAUGCAGCGACGCCGCGUGAGUGAAGAAGUAUUUCGGUAUGUAAAGCUCUAUCAGCAGGGAAGAUAAUG